rnacentral:lncRNA from 1 species
AAAAAAAAUUAAAACUGAAGUAAAUUAUGAAACUAAAUGUUUCAUGGGCAUUUGUGUAAAUAAAACAGAAAAAAAAAUUGACAAAAAAAAAGGAAGAAUUUCAAAUUUCAAACGUGGGGAAAGGCUGGAGAAUAAUUAGAGAGUUUGCCAUGGUGUUGGAUACGUAAGUCGCCGCUUCGCUCCUGCGCCCGCGCUCCGGCUUUCUCGGAAUCGUCGCUGGAUUAGCACGUUUAGUUUUCAAACUGCAUAGUUUCCGUACAGUUUUCAAACUCACUGAUUACCAGCGGAAACCAACCCACCCACCCACGUCUCUCCUCUAUUCCCCAUUUUCUGAUGAAACUUCUUCCUCACACAGACUCUGUAACCUCCCA